rnacentral:rRNA from 1 species
AUUGAACGCUGGCGGCAGGCCUAACACAUGCAAGUCGAACGAGUGGCGGACGGGUGACCAAUGUCUGGGAAACUGCCUGAGGGAGGGGGAUAACUACUGGACACGGUAGCCAAUAACGCAUAGCAUCAGAUGUGCCCAGUUGGGUUUAGCUAGUUGGUGGGGUAACGGCGCACCAAGACGACGAUCCCUAGCUGGUCUGAGAGGAUGACCAGCCACACUGGAACUGAGACACGGUCCAGACUCCUACGGGAGGCAGCAGUGGGGAAUAUUGGACAAUGGGCGAAAGCCUGAUGCAGCCAUGCCGCGUGUGUGAAGAAGGCCUUCGGGUUGUAAAGUACUUUCAGCUGGGAGGCGUUACCCGCAGAAGAAGCACCGGCUAACUCCGUGCCAGCAGUCGCGGUAAUAC